AGAGUUUGAUCCUGGCUCAGGACGAACGCUGGCGGCGUGCCUAAUACAUGCAAGUAGAACGCUGAAGAGAGGAGCUUGCUCUUCUUGGAUGAGUUGCGAACGGGUGAGUAACGCGUAGGUAACCUGCCUUGUAGCGGGGGAUAACUAUUGGAAACGAUAGCUAAUACCGCAUAACAAUGGAUGACCCAUGUCAUUUAUUUGAAAGGGGCAAAUGCUCCACUACAAGAUGGACCUGCGUUGUAUUAGCUAGUAGGUGAGGUAACGGCUCACCUAGGCGACGAUACAUAGCCGACCUGAGAGGGUGAUCGGCCACACUGGGACUGAGACACGGCCCAGACUCCUACGGGAGGCAGCAGUAGGGAAUCUUCGGCAAUGGGGGCAACCCUGACCGAGCAACGCCGCGUGAGUGAAGAAGGUUUUCGGAUCGUAAAGCUCUGUUGUAAGUCAAGAACGAGUGUGAGAGUGGAAAGUUCACACUGUGACGGUAGCUUACCAGAAAGGGACGGCUAACUACGUGCCAGCAGCCGCGGU
rnacentral:rRNA from 1 species